CCUACGGGAGGCUGCAGUAGGGAAUCUUUCACAAUGGGCGAAAGCCUGAUGGAGCAACGCCGCGUGCAGGCUGAAGGCCUUCGGGUUGUAAACUGCUGUUAUAAGCGAGAAAUAUGAUGGUAACUUAUGAAUAAGGAUCUGCGAACUACGUGCCAGCAGCCGCGGUCAUACGUAGGAUCCGAGCAUUAUCCGGAGUGACUGGGUGUAAAGAGUUGCGUAGGUGGCAUAAUAAGUAGCUAGUGAAAUCUGGUGGCUCAACCAUUCAGACUAUUAGCUAAACUGUUAAGCUCGAGACCGUUAGGGGUAACUGGAAUUUCUAGUGUAGGAGUGAAAUCCGUAGAUAUUAGAAGGAACACCAAUAGCGUAGGCAGGUUGCUGGGACGGUUCUGACACUAAGGCACGAAAGCGUAGGGAGCAAACGGGAUUAGAUACCCUAGUAGUC
rnacentral:rRNA from 1 species